rnacentral:rRNA from 1 species
CUUACCUCUUUUCUCAGGAAAAACUGACGGUACUUGAGGACUAAGCCACGGCUAUUCCGUGCCAGCAGCCGCGGUAAUACGGGAGUGGCANAGCGUUAUCCUGGAAAUUAUAUGGGCGUAAAGCGUCCGCAGGCGGCCUUGAAAGUCUGUCGUUAAAGCGUGGAGCUUAACUCCAUUUAAGCGAUGGAAACUACAAGGCUUGAGUGUGGUAUGGGCAGAGGGAAUUCCCGGUGUAGCGGUGAAAUGCGUAGAUAUCGGGAAGAACACCAGUGGCGAAGGCGCUCUGCUGGGCCAUAACUGACGCUCAUGGACGAAAGCCAGGGGAGCGAAAGGGAUUAGAUACCCCUGUAGUCCUGGCCGUAAACGAUGAACACUAGGUGUCGGGGGAAUCGACCCCCUCGGUGUCGUAGCCAACGCGUAAAGUGU